UGUCACCCCUCCUCACUUUGUCACCCCACUCACACCCCAUCGCUGCCCCGGCCCUGUCAUCCCUCCAGAUCCUUCCACCUCCACACGCUGUCACCCCUCCCGACCCUGUCGGCCCCUCAGCUGCUGCCCUCCCCAGCCCUGACAGCGAAUCCAUUCAGCCGAGCCGUGGAGCUGCAGGAUGAGCUCUGGAGGAGCCUGAGGUCUCGGAAAGCCUUUGCACAACAAAGGGCCCCGGGGACCUGUGGCCCAGUCAGGGGACUGGACACUCAGGACACAGCAGGAGCUGAUGACCCCAGACUCUCCUGCACACAGACUAUUAGACAAUCUCAAGGAUUGAGAUGGCCGAGACUCUGCUGUGGGAAGCCCGGUCUGCCUGUGAUUGUGUGGGGGGUGCAGCUGCCAGGGGGCUUCGGUGCCAGCUCAGGUGGUGACAGUGACUGCCAGAGUGGCUCCUGCAUGGUCGGACAGCAGCCCUGAACCAAGUCCCAGCUAUCCCAAAGUCUCCAGUCCUGCUCAUCUCCCACAGGAGCAAGAGGAGCCCUCUGCCACCCGUCACUGGUGACAGAGCUGUCACCAAGUGCCUGUGGCAUGGUCUGUGUCCUGCUGGGGAGUCCCAGAUCCCAAGGGCUGCUUGGCUGUAAGAGAAGCCACGGGGGAGCUGGGACUUUUCAUUGUUGCUGCUGCUUUAGAUACUCUGCCAGUGCAUGAGUAUCACUGUUCUCACUGAAAAUGACUAAGGAAAACCCAAAAGCUCUGAAGCCAAACCAUACUUGUUUUCACUUCUAAAGAUAAUUUGUUUUGCACUCCUUGAGCUGUUUUUAAGGCAUCUGGAGACAGCAUUUUUGCUGCCACCCCUAUCUGGGCCACUCAGGGCAGUAGGUGCCCACAGAAGCAGAUGUUAUUUUAUGAACUGUGGUCUUUUGUGCUGCAAUACAUUUCUCACUUCCUCAGUGUGUGCUGCCAGCCCGCAGGAUCAUGGGGAGGGCAGUGGGGUGAGCUU
rnacentral:lncRNA from 13 species